GGUGAGGGUUGGUCACAGAAACGCAGAGGUCCAGUCUCCCUGGCAUAACUGGAAUUGUGGGAGGCGUGGGGCAGGGGAGAAGGGAGGAUUCCUGAUGGAAAAGUCGAAGGUCUCCAUAGCUAUUUCCACAUACCCAGUGUACUUUGCAGACACAGGGUAUGAUAGUAGAAGGAACCUGGAGAACAUAAUUUCUCCAAAAAGAGAAUUGUUUGUGGACAGCUGUUGCCAUGUUGAGGUAUUCAUUUUGACUGAUCGAUCAACUCUCGUGCAAAAAUCCACUCUUUUCAUUUGUGUUCCCCUUUCUGCAUACCCCUUUCUGCAUCCCUGCUUCCCUUUACAGACACCCCAUAAUGUCCCACUCACCUUCCCAGACUCUUGCUUAGCAAAAUCUACUCUCCAGGAUUCAGGGUUUCUACAUCUGCCUUUGGCCUAACCAACAGAUCUCCAGAGUAGGCAGAAUCCUGGUGCCAAAGGCUAAUAAGAACCAUCAAAUCCAAGAUGGAAAGAUGGGUUCUCCUGGAUUUAUUGUUACAGGAGCCAGUUACAGUGUGAGAUUUGGACUGAAAUCACCUUACAGAAGGUGAUUUCUCAUUCUGCUGGGUCUGAGAAAUGAGUUUGAUUUGAGAAAAUAUUUUAAGAACCAUCAUUCCAUGACAGAAGGGGAGAUUACAGAAAGUCUUACAUCCUGUUAUAAAAGUACCAGGUAUCUAAUCAUCUUAUUGGUAAAUUUUGAAAGCUUGACCACGUAGCUUUAUAAAAUAUAAAAUCCAUGCCACCAAGUAACUGAAUUCACGUAUAGAUAAUUCUCAGUUCUCUAAGGUAGAUAGUCACCUCUCUUCUUCCUGCUCUUUCUCUUAACUGUCAGAAAUGUUUUUG
rnacentral:lncRNA from 1 species